AUUGAACGCUGGCGGCAUGCUUUACACAUGCAAGUCGAACGGUAACAGGCCGCAAGGUGCUGACGAGUGGCGAACGGGUGAGUAAUGCAUCGGAACGUGCCCAGUCGUGGGGGAUAACGCAGCGAAAGCUGUGCUAAUACCGCAUACGAUCUGUGGAUGAAAGCGGGGACCGUAAGGCCUCGCGCGAUUGGAGCGGCCGAUGUCAGAUUAGGUAGUUGGUGGGGUAAAGGCUCACCAAGCCGACGAUCUGUAGCUGGUCUGAGAGGACGACCAGCCACACUGGGACUGGGACACGGCCCAGACUCCUACGGGAGGCAGCAGUGGGGAAUUUUGGACAAUGGGCGCAAGCCUGAUUCAGCAAUGCCGCGUGCAGGAAGAAGGCCUUCGGGUUGUAAACUGCUUUUGUACGGAGCGAAACGGCUUCCACUAAUACUGGGGGCUAAUGACGGUACCGUAAGAAUAAGCACCGGCUAACUACGUGCCAGCCGCCGCAGUAAAAC
rnacentral:rRNA from 1 species